rnacentral:lncRNA from 1 species
AAGAAAGAGAUAGUUGUCCCUGCCCUGUUAGUACCACAUUCUGAGGAACUAUCCACAUCCUGCUGGCUAUAUUCUACAGUGACAUCAGAGAAAGGGAUGGAAAGCUCACGAUAAACACAUUUUCCCUUUGGUACAUAUCUGCCUAUGAUGAAGAGAACAGCAGAGAUGGCUACAAACAACUUUCAUCCAAUUCAUUACUGUAGGGCUUAAUUUUUCUAGCCCUAACCAGGAUGAUGCCAACAUCUAUCGAGACCUCUGAAGUGCUGGAUGGAGUUCAAGCUUCCAGAGAUACAGGAGUAAGAAAGGCAAAACUUCUGGCCUUCUCAAACAUUCUGUUGAGAGCAGAUGGAAAAUCAGUCCAUGAACUAAUGAGCAAGAUCACUGCAGAUGGUGAUACGUGGUAUAAAGAAAGAAAGAAAGAAAGAAAAAUGAGACAAGGAAGCAG